rnacentral:sRNA from 1 species
ACUUUGGGAAGCUGAGGUGGGCGAAUCACGAGGUCAGGAGAUGGAGACCAUCCUGACUAACAUGGUGAAACCCCGUCUCUACUAAAAGUACAAAAAAUUAGCCAGGCGUGGUGGCGGGUGUCUGUAGUCCCAGUUACUUGGGAGACUGAGGCAGGAGAAUCACUUAAACCCUGAACCCUAGAGGCGGAGGUUUCAGUGAGCCACUGCACUCGGAGCGAGACUCCGUCUCAGAAAAUAAAUAAAUAAAUAAAAUAAAUAAAAUGCAGUUUUGCUCUCCCAGUGCCAGGUCUGUGAGGCCCAGGGGAAGAAGUUUGGCAGCGGGGCAUUGCUGCUAUCUUUUUCUUUUUCCCCAGUUUGUGAUGGACGCCUCUGACCCCACCCAGCUCUCUGCAUCCUGUGUGCAGCUCUUAGGUCUCCUUUCUGCAGAACAACUUGCAGAAGCAUCGGUGCUGAUACUCUUCAAUAAAAUCGACCUACCCUGUUACAUGUCCACGGAGGAGAUGAAGUCAUUAAUCAGGCUUCCAGACAUCAUUGCUUGUGCCAAGCAGAACAUCACCACGGCAGAAAUCAGCGCCCGUGAAGGCACUGGCUUGGCAGGGGUGCUGGCCUGGCUCCAGGCCACCCACAGAGCCAACGGUUGACUGCACGGCAGAGGCAUGGCUGCCCUGAGCUGGGGAGAGGUGGCAGAGGGCAGUAUGGCUUCGCUGCCAAUAGUUUCUUCUCACAGGGGCAGAAUAACCCAAAGUAAUCCUACAUGAUGGUGCUCUGUGCUGAGAUGCAAUGAUGCAUAAACUGAGGCAUGCGGAGAUGGGAGUUGACAUCUGGCCUCUGAAAAAAGUGUCCCCAGGGGCCAGGCAUGGUGGCUCACACCUGUAAUCCCAGCACUUUGGGAGGCCAAGGCAGGGGUAUCACCUGAGGUCGGGAGUUCGAGACUAGCCUGACCAACAUGGAGAAACCCUGUCUCUACUAAAAAUACAAAAUUAGCUGGGUGUGGUGGUGCAUGCCUGUAAUCCAGCUACUUGGGAGGCUGAGGCAGGAGAAUCCCUUGAACCCGGGAGACGGAGGUUGCAGUGAGUCGAGAUCAUGCCAUUGUACUCCACCAGGGCAACAAGAGCGAAACUCCGUCUUAAAAAAAAUAAGAAAUAAAAAAAUAAAAACCUG